AUUGAACGCUGGCGGCAUGCCUUACACAUGCAAGUCGAACGGUGACAGGUCUUCGGAUGCUGACGAGUGGCGAACGGGUGAGUAAUACAUCGGAACGUGCCUAGUAGUGGGGGAUAACUACUCGAAAGAGGGGCUAAUACCGCAUGAGAUCUACGGAUGAAAGCAGGGGAUCGCAAGACCUUGUGCUACUAGAGCGGCCGAUGGCAGAUUAGGUAGUUGGUGGGAUAAAAGCUUACCAAGCCGACGAUCUGUAGCUGGUCUGAGAGGACGAUCAGCCACACUGGGACUGAGACACGGCCCAGACUCCUACGGGAGGCAGCAGUGGGGAAUUUUGGACAAUGGGCGCAAGCCUGAUCCAGCAAUGCCGCGUGCAGGAUGAAGGCCUUCGGGUUGUAAACUGCUUUUGUACGGAACGAAAAGCCCUGGGUUAAUACCCUGGGGUCAUGACGGUACCGUAAGAAUAAGCACCGGCUAACUACGUGCCAGCAGCCGCAGUAAUAC
rnacentral:rRNA from 1 species